rnacentral:rRNA from 1 species
UACGUAGGUGGCAAGCGUUGUCCGGAUUUAUUGGGUUUAAAGGGUGCGUAGGCGGCCCUGUAAGUCAGUGCUGAAAUAUCCCGGCUUAACCGGGAGGGUGGCAUUGAUACUGCGGGGCUAGAGUACAGAUGAGGUAGGCGGAAUUGACGGUGUAGCGGUGAAAUGCUUAGAUAUCGUCAAGGACACCUAUAGCGAAGGCAGCUUACUAGGCUGUAACUGACGCUGAGGCACGAAAGUGUGGGGAUCAAACAGG